AGAUUGAACGCUGGCGGCAUGCCUUACACAUGCAAGUCGAACGGCAGCACGGGAGCAAUCCUGGUGGCGAGUGGCGAACGGGUGAGUAAUAUAUCGGAACGUGCCCAGUCGUGGGGGAUAACGCAGCGAAAGCUGUGCUAAUACCGCAUACGAUCUAUGGAUGAAAGCGGGGGAUCGCAAGACCUCGCGCGAUUGGAGCGGCCGAUAUCAGAUUAGCUAGUUGGUGGGGUAAAAGCCUACCAAGGCGACGAUCUGUAGCUGGUCUGAGAGGACGACCAGCCACACUGGAACUGAGACACGGUCCAGACUCCUACGGGAGCAG
rnacentral:rRNA from 1 species